GUGGGCCUACGGGAGGCAGCAGUGGGGAAUUUUGGACAAUGGGGGCAACCCUGAUCCAGCAAUGCCGCGUGUGUGAAGAAGGCCUUCGGGUUGUAAAGCACUUUUGUCCGGAAAGAAAUCGCACUUACUAAUAUUAGGUGUGGAUGACGGUACCGGAAGAAUAAGGACCGGCUAACUACGUGCCAGCAGCCGCGGUAAUACGUAGGGUCCAAGCGUUAAUCGGAAUUACUGGGCGUAAAGCGUGCGCAGGCGGUUGUGCAAGACCGAUGUGAAAUCCCCGGGCUUAACCUGGGAAUUGCAUUGGG
rnacentral:rRNA from 1 species